rnacentral:rRNA from 1 species
GAUGAACGCUGGCGGCGUGCCUAAUACAUGCAAGUCGAGCGAACAGACGAGGAGCUUGCUCCUCUGACGUUAGCGGCGGACGGGUGAGUAACACGUGGAUAACCUACCUAUAAGACUGGGAUAACUUCGGGAAACCGGAGCUAAUACCGGAUAAUAUAUUGAACCGCAUGGUUCAAUAGUGAAAGACGGUUUUGCUGUCACUUAUAGAUGGAUCCGCGCCGCAUUAGCUAGUUGGUAAGGUAACGGCUUACCAAGGCAACGAUGCGUAGCCGACCUGAGAGGGUGAUCGGCCACACGGGAACUGAGACACGGUCCAGACGCCUACGGGAGGAAGCAGUAGGGAAUCUGCAGCAAUGGGCGAAAGCUUGACGGAGAAACGCCGCGUGAGUGAUGAAGGUCUUCGGAUCGUAAAACUCUGUUAUUAGGGAAGAACAAAUGUGUAAGUAACUAUGCACGUCUUGACGGUACCUAAUCAGAAAGCCACGGCUAACUACGUG